GGAGCACCCUGAGGGCUGCGAUGUUAUCGGAACUGGCUCUCCCAGAUGCUCGCUCGGCCCCAAAUGUGCCUCCACGUUGUGAUUUGGUGUUGGGCUCAACAUGUCACUUGGCCUAGAAUGCAGCUUCCUCUCUUUCUUCAUCUUAUCCUUCAGGACCCAGUGGAAGUGCCACCUCCUUCAUGAGGCCCUCCUAGCCUGCCAAGGUAGCCCCUCCUCAGAGCGUCUGGAAUACCAGACAGCACCUUCCACGGAGCUCCAGAACCAUGCACUGCAGGGCCUCGCUUCCAUAUUUUCCUCUUCCCCUUGGCUGUGUGCAGUUGAGGCACAGGAUGGAGGCUCCCACAUCCCUACUCUACGGACUUUCUUCUAUUGUCUGCCACGAAGCAGCCAAGGCCUUUCAGUCUCUGGAGCUGGUCAAAAUAACUUUGUUUUCCAUUUGCAUUGUUUUCAAGAAAUGAUUAAACUGCCCAAGAUGUUCUCCAUCCGACAUUCCCCUUUUGGUCAAGAAGAUGUUCUCCAUCCCACGAUGCCGGGUCCAGAUUCCUCCCUGGGAGUCAUAUUCAACGUUACCAGGGGUAAUUUAUCCAUUUUGUUGCAUGUAGUUCUAAUUUGCUCAUUUUUGUUGCUUUAUAAUAUUCUGUUCACC